GACGAACGCUGGCGGCGUGCCUAAUACAUGCAAGUUGAGCGCUGAAGGUUGGUACUUGUACCAACUGGAUGAGCAGCGAACGGGUGAGUAACGCGUGGGGAAUCUGCCUUUGAGCGGGGGACAACAUUUGGAAACGAAUGCUAAUACCGCAUAAAAACUUUAAACACAAGUUUUAAGUUUGAAAGAUGCAAUUGCAUCACUCAAAGAUGAUCCCGCGUUGUAUUAGCUAGUUGGUGAGGUAAAGGCUCACCAAGGCGAUGAUACAUAGCCGACCUGAGAGGGUGAUCGGCCACAUUGGGACUGAGACACGGCCCAAACUCCUACGGGAGGCAGCAGUAGGGAAUCUUCGGCAAUGGACGAAAGUCUGACCGAGCAACGCCGCGGUAGUGAAGAAGGUUUUCGGAUCGUAAAACUCUGUUGGUAGAGAAGAACGUUGGUGAGAGUGGAAAGCUCAUCAAGUGACGGUAACUACCCAGAAAGGGACGGCUAACUACGUG
rnacentral:rRNA from 1 species